UUGGGUUAAGUCCCGCAACGAGCGCAACCCUUGUCCUUAGUUGCCAGCAUUUGGUUGGGCACUCUAGGGAGACUGCCGGUGACAAACCGGAGGAAGGUGGGGAUGACGUCAAAUCAUCAUGCCCCUUAUGAGUUGGGCUACACACGCGCUACAAUGGACGGUACAAAGGGCAGCGAAGCCGCGAGGUGGAGCCAAUCCCAGAAAGCCGUUCUCAGUUCGGAUUGCAGGCUGCAACUCGCCUGCAUGAAGUCGGAAUCGCUAGUAAUCGCAGGUCAGCAUACUGCGGUGAAUACGUUCCCGGGUCUUGUACACACCGCCCGUCACACCACGAGAGUUUGCAACACCCGAAGUCGGUGAGUAAC
rnacentral:rRNA from 1 species